rnacentral:rRNA from 1 species
UUUACUAACUUCCAGCUUCUAACCUCUAAUAUCGUAAUCGUAGUGGCGGACGGGUGAGUAACACGUUGGAACCUGACCCCAAAGUAAGGGAUAAGCCACCGAAAGGUGGUCUAAUACCUUAUAGUAUCCAUCUCGGUGUGGGAUUUAAGCUUUAUGCGCUUUGGGAGGGGGCCUGCGUUUGAUUAGCUAGUUGGUGAGGUAAAAAGCUCACCAAGGGCGACGAUCAAUAGCUGGGUUUGAGAGGAUGACCAGCCACACUGGGACUGAGAUACGGCCCAGACUCCUACGGGAGGCAGCAGUAAGGAAUCUUCCACAAUGGGGGCAACCCUGAUGGAGCAAUACCGCGUGCAGGAUGAAGCGUUUCGGCGUGUAAACUGCUUUUAUCACCGAAGAUUAUGACUGUAGGUGAAGAAUAAGGACCGGCUAACUACGUG